UUAACUAUUAUAUAGUACUCAGACGACACUAUAAUUCAGAGUUUUGGGUCCUCUGGCGGGCACUCACCAGCCGAAGCCAGUAGCCGAAGCGGCCCGCCAAAGCAACAAAGGUAUGUAUUCAAGGGUGGGAGGUCUACCCGUGAGGGCAUGAACUCUGUAAUGAUCCUUCCGCAGGUUCACCUACGGAAA
rnacentral:misc_RNA from 1 species